GAACUAUAUUGAGUGACUUUGCAGGGUGACAGCAUGGAGUCCCUCUUCCCUGCCCCAUUCUGGGAAGUCUUGUAUGGCAGCCACUUUCAAGGCAACAUGUCUCUCCUAAAUGAGACUGUACCCCACCACCUGCUGCUCAAUGCUAGCCACAGCGCCUUCCUGCCCCUUGGACUCAAGGUCACCAUCGUGGGGCUCUACUUGGCUGUGUGCAUCGGGGGGCUGCUGGGGAACUGCCUCGUCAUGUAUGUCAUCCUCAGGGGGCAGGAUCAACCUUGAUGUUCAACUCCUGUUCUGCCCCCAUGUGUUCCAGACUAGGUGUCACCACCUGGAGGCUUGGAGCUCUGGGAGGGCAUUGAGGGGGACUGGAGACAGCAGGCAUACCAAGAUGAAGACAGCUACCAACAUUUAUAUAUUUAAUCUGGCACUGGCUGAUACCCUGGUCUUGCUGACACUGCCCUUUCAGGGCACAGAUAUCCUAUUGGGCUUCUGGCCAUUUGGGAAUGCACUGUGCAAGACUGUCAUUGCUAUUGACUACUACAACAUGUUCACCAGCACUUUCACUCUGACUGCCAUGAGUGUAGACCGCUAUGUGGCCAUCUGUCACCCUAUCCGUGCCCUUGAUGUUCGGACAUCCAGCAAAGCCCAGGCUGUUAAUGUGGCCAUAUGGGCCCUGGCCUCAGUGGUUGGUGUUCCUGUUGCCAUCAUGGGCUCAGCACAAGUGGAGGAUGAAGAGAUCGAAUGCCUGGUGGAAAUCCCUGCCCCUCAGGACUAUUGGGGCCCGGUAUUUGCCAUCUGCAUCUUCCUCUUUUCCUUCAUCAUCCCUGUGCUGAUCAUCUCUGUCUGCUACAGCCUCAUGAUUCGGCGGCUCCGUGGUGUCCGUCUGCUUUCAGGCUCCCGAGAGAAGGACCGGAACCUGCGGCGUAUCACACGGCUGGUGCUGGUGGUGGUGGCUGUGUUUGUGGGCUGCUGGACACCUGUGCAAGUCUUUGUGCUGGUCCAAGGACUGGGUGUUCAGCCAGGCAGUGAGGCUGCAGUCGCCAUCCUGCGCUUCUGCACGGCCCUGGGCUAUGUCAACAGCUGUCUCAACCCCAUUCUCUAUGCUUUCCUGGAUGAGAACUUCAAGGCCUGCUUUAGAAAGUUCUGCUGUGCUUCAGCCUUGCAUCGGGAGGUGCAGGUUUCUGAUCGUGUGCGCAGCAUUGCCAAGGAUGUGGGCCUUGCUUGUAAGACUUCUCAGACAGUACCACGGCCGGCAUGACUAGGCGUGGACCUGCCCAUGGUGCCUGUCAGCCCACAGAGCCCAUCUACACCCAACACGGAACUCACACAGGUCACUGCUCUCUAGGUUGACCCUGAACCUUGAGCAUCCAGGGCCUGGAAUGGCCUUUCUUUUGGCUCAGGAUGCUUAAUCCUAGAGGAAGACCUUGUAACAACACCAUGGGACAGGUCCAAGCAUCAAGGUAGCCUCUAAGGCCUCUGUCAAAUUAGGCUCCCCCCUCCGGUGUAAGACCAGAGAGAACCAAAGGACACUGAAUGGAAACAUCCAUAACACUGUGGACAUGCCUGGUGAACCCACAUAGGUAUUCAUGCUUCACUUGACUCUUCUCUGGCCUCUCCCUGCUGCCCUGGCUCUAGGUAGACUCAACCUGAGGUAUUGCAGUGAUCACAUAGUCACAUGUUUUAUUAUAUUGCCCUCAGCCUUUAACUAUUUCCAUAGGACUGCUGAAAAUACUUGGUGUUGCCUGGUGCUGCAGUGGGCAGUGCCCUAAGCUUGGAGCUGCCUUGGAGCAUUUUCUGGUUCUGACUCCACUGAUGCAGCCAGAUUACCCGAGGAAAUCACAGCCAGGCCUAACAUCAACUGAAGUCUCCAGAAAGAAGAUGGGGCCCCACAACAACAACAAUUCCAUGUGUACAAUAACAAUACCACUAAGCUGACAAACAUCAUCUACAGAUCAGCUUUGGACAACAAACUGCUCAGAGCAAUUUUGAGAUGGCUAGCUGAGAUGAUCCAGUUUCAAAGACUACUUGAAUAAGGACUUGAGAUAAGCCCUGAACUUUGACAUUAUGCUCAAACUGGACAACAAAGGAUACAACUACCUUUUCUAGAAUUUGACAAUUAACCCAAAGUUUUUCUUUUCAGAAUAAAGAACCCUCGCCCAUAUCCAGCAAGAAGCAAUUUUAAGAAUAUGACGCCCACAUUCCCAAAGAGGUGGUAUGGGGCGGGUGGUUUUUUGGUCUUUUAAUGGGUUUUGGGUCUGGGAUAAUUUUCAUUGUUUAGGAGGGUUGGUUACAAGUUGUUGUUAAGGGUUAGGAAAAGGGCUAAGCAAAGGAGAUUAGAUUUAAGGUUCUUGUAAAAAAAAAAAGAAAAAAAAGAGACAAUUACUAGUUUUAAAUACUUUACAUUGGAUUGGAUUUUUUUAUAUUGUAUACAAAUUAUAUAUAUUGAGAUUGAUAUUAUUAGAAAAUGCCAUACAUAUAUUUCUAAUCUUGUUCAAGAUAUUGUACUUAUACCGUUCAUUUAACAAUGUAAUGCAAUUUGCUGAUCCUUGAAUGUUGUUAUUGCCAACUAUUAGGAUAUAAAGAAAUGAAAAUUAAUAGUUAGACAUUAAAAUCCUGAAUCAUGACAUGACUAGUGGAAUUCAGGUGUUUCUGGUACAUGGACUGCUCUCACCAAAUGUGAGGUCGAACUGUUGACCUUGUAUACAUCCUACUUCACAAAUGAGUCUGUCAGAUACGCUAAGCCUAUAGGCUGAAGAUGAUGCCCCAACACUGUGGAGAAACCUCAGGUGACUGUCCAGGCAGCUGGCUGUUUCUGUCAACUCACAUUUUUUUUUUUGGAAGCUGCUUGCAUAUAGUUCCUGUUUUUAGUUUUUAUUAGGUAAUAUUAUUUCCUUCUUGGGUCUCUGAGGGAGUCUUCAACUAUAACUAACUAAUAUAGUUGAAGAUUAGAUAGUUAUAGUUAUAGUUUUCCUUGUUAAAGAAUUUUAGAAAAGAAACUCACUAAAGAGGUGUAAAUGCAUAAAUUUGAAAGAUGUUAUAAGAUAGUUGUUAGUAAUAUAAGUUAGGAUAGAAAGUGAAUCAGGUACAUUUUGGACUUACCAAAAUGGGAUAGAUAAUGGAAUUAUUUUCUCUGAAUUUGUCAAAUGAAAAUGGGCUAGACAUUGUUUGGGUAUUUAUUGCUUGUAUAUAUAAUAUAUAGUUAUUGUACUUUUGUAUAUAGUUUUUCUUAUAUUAGUUAUAACUUUUUUCCUUUUUUCUUUUUAUUAAAAUAGAAAAGGAGAAAUAUGGUGAUAUUUCAUUUGUACUGAAAUGUUAUUUGUAUGUUAAUAAAUAAAGUUGCCUGGGGUCAGAGAUAAUAGCAAGCCAUAGCAGAAGCCAGGCGGUGGUGGUGCACACCUUUAAUCCCAAUCACAUGACAGACAGAUCUCUGUGUGUUCAAGGAUACAGCCAGCAUGGAGACACAUGCCUUUAAUCUCAAAACCAACCAUAGAAGACCUGGAGGUCUGUAUAGACAGGCAGUGAUGAGGAGGUCAUGUGGUUGGGUUUACAACCAAUGAGAAAGCAGAACAGAAAGUCAAUAAAAAGACAGAUACACAGGAAGUAGGUCUCUUUCUGAGGGGAAGGGCGACAGCGGCAGCGAAGGGUAAGAAAGGUUUUUUAGUAUCAGCUCUUAGCUACUGCUCUGACCUCUUGGGCUUUUAACUCUG